rnacentral:rRNA from 1 species
UACGUAGGGUGCGAGCGUUAAUCGGAAUUACUGGGCGUAAAGCGUGCGCAGGCGGUUUUGCAAGCCGGAUGUGAAAUCCCCGGGCUCAACCUGGGAAUGGCAUUUGGGACUGCAAGGCUGGAGUGCGGCAGAGGAGACUGGAAUUCCUGGUGUAGCAGUGAAAUGCGUAGAUAUCAGGAGGAACACCGAUGGCGAAGGCAGGUCUCUGGGCUGACACUGACGCUCAUGCACGAAAGCGUGGGGAGCAAACAGG